UACAGAGGUCCCGAGCGUUGUUCGGAUUCACUGGGCGUAAAGGGUGCGUAGGUGGUGAGGUAAGUCGGAUGUGAAAUCUCCGAGCUCAACUCGGAAAUGGCAUUGGAAACUACCUUGCUAGAGGAUCGGAGGGGGGACUGGAAUACUUGGCGUAGCAGUGAAAUGCGUAGAUAUCAAGUGGAACACCAGUGGCGAAGGCGAGUCCCUGGACGAUACCUGACACUGAGGCACGAAAGCUAGGGGAGCAAACAGG
rnacentral:rRNA from 1 species